rnacentral:rRNA from 1 species
CUAAGGCUCCAGAGGAAGCCACGGCUAACUCUGUGCCAGCAGCCGCGGUAAUACAGAGGCGGCAAGCGUUGUUCGGAAUUAUUGGGCGUAAAGAGCACGUAGGCGGCCUUGCAAGUCAGUUGUGAAAGCCUUCCGCUUAACGGAAGAAUGCCAGCUGAUACUACGGGGCCUGAGUACGGGAGGGGAGAAUGGAACUUCUGGUGGAGCGGUGAAAUGCGUAGAUAUCAGAAGGAACGCCGGCGGCGAAAGCGACUCUCUGGCCCGAAACUGACGCUGAGUGUGCGAAAGCUAGGGGAGCAAACGGGAUUAGAUACCCCGGUAGUCCUAGCCGUAAA